GACGUAGGUGGCGAACGUUAUCCGGAAUCAUUGGGCGUAAAGGGCGCGUAGGCGGCCUGCAUGGUCGGGGGUGAAAUCCCGCAGCUCAACUGCGGAAGUGCCUUCGAUACCGGCGGGCUCGAGGAAGGUAGGGGUGCGCGGAACUUCUGGUGGAGCGGUGAAAUGCGUUGAUAUCAGAAGGAACGCCGGCGGCGAAAGCGGCGCACUGGACCUUUUCUGACGCUGAUGCGCGAAAGCCAGGGGAGCAAACGGG
rnacentral:rRNA from 1 species